rnacentral:tRNA from 2 species
GGGCUUAUAGCUCAGCUGGUUAGAGCGCACGCCUGAUAAGCGUGAGGUCGAUGGUUCGAGUCCAUUUAGGCCCA